CAAUAGCGUAUAUUAAUGUUGUUGCAGUUAAAAAGCUCGUAGUUGGAUUUCUGAUGAGAGCCCUGGUCACUCUAACGAGUGUACUGAUGUGGCGUCUCGUCGUUUCAUGGGGAUGCUUGCUGGUAUUAAGUUAUCGGCUUGUGGAUCCAUGUCGUUUACUGUGAAAAAAUUAGAGUGUUCAAAGCAGGCCAUCGCUGUGAAUACAUUAGCAUGGAAUAAUAAGAUAGGACUGUGGUGCUAUUUUGUUGGUUUGCGUACUACGGUAAUGAUUAAUAGGGAUAGUUGGGGGUAUUCAUAUUCAAUUGUCAGAGGUGAAAUUCUUGGAUUUAUGGAAGAUGAACUACUGCGAAAGCAUUUACCAAGGAUGUUUUCAUUA
rnacentral:rRNA from 1 species